GGGUCAGUGGGUUGGUCGUGCCACCGGUACGUACUGGUCUCACUGAUUCCUCCUUCCUGAAGAACCGUAAUGCCAUUAAUUUGGUGUUGCGGGGAAACAGGACUGUUACUUUGAAAAAAUUAGAGUGUUUAAAGCAAGCUAACGCUUGAAUAAAUUAGCAUGGAAUAAUGAAAUAGGACGAUCGAUCCUAUUUUGUUGGUUUCUAGGAUUGACGUA
rnacentral:rRNA from 1 species